AGUGAACGCUGGCGGUAGGCCUAACACAUGCAAGUCGAACGGCAGCACAGUAAGAGCUUGCUCUUACGGGUGGCGAGUGGCGGACGGGUGAGGAAUACAUCGGAAUCUACUUUUUCGUGGGGGAUAACGUAGGGAAACUUACGCUAAUACCGCAUACGACCUACGGGUGAAAGCAGGGGAUCUUCGGACCUUGCGCGAUUGAAUGAGCCGAUGUUGGAUUAGCUAGUUGGCGGGGUAAAGGCCCACCAAGGCGACGAUCCGUAGCCGGUCUGAGAGGAUGAUCAGCCACACUGGAGCUGAGACACGGUCCAGGCUCCUACGGGAGGCAGCAGUGGGGAAUAUUGGACAAUGGGCGCAAGCCUGAUCCAGCCAUACCGCGUGGGUGAAGAAGGCCUUCGGGUUGUAAAGCCCUUUUGUUGGGAAAGAAAAGCAGCAGGUUAAUACCCCGCUGUUCUGACGGUACCCAAAGAAUAAGCACCGGCUAACUUCGUG
rnacentral:rRNA from 1 species